UUUAGACAAAGUAUCAUUCUUUGUUGGCUUCCAGUUGCCAACGAAGGCAUCGUGAGCUGAAGGCUGUCCCUUUUUUACUGGGUUCAUCCACUGCCACAUUGCAGCUUGGAAUGCCAAGGUUGCGUUUUGUUCAAUGUAUUCGGGAUGAUUCAACAGAUCUACCUUCAAUGCUUCGCCUAUUUUUCCGUAGUUGUAGUUCCAGUAGAUAGGCAAG
rnacentral:misc_RNA from 1 species